CCUGUUUAUCAAAAACAUGUCUAUUUGGAGGUAAAAAUAGUCUGGCCUGCCCACUGACUUGGAGGUUUAAGGGCCGCAGUAUCAUGACUGUGCAAAGGUAGCAUAAUCAUUUGGUUUUUAAAUGGGAUCUUGUAUGAAUGGUCGGACAAAGGAAAAACUGUCUUAGGUUUAGUUUUGAAUUUUACUUUUAAGUGAGAAGGCUUAAAUAUUUUAGAGGGACGAUAAGACCCUAUAAAGCUUUACAUAUAAAUUAUAUUUAGCUGAAUUUGUAAAUAUUAAGGUUUAAUAUUAUUUUUGUUUUGUUGGGGAGACAUAGGUAGAAUUAUUAUAGCUGCUUUAUUGGAAAACAAUUAUCUGUGAGAAGUAAUUGAUCCUGGCUAAAGAUUAAAAGUUUAAGUUACUUUAGGGAUAACAGUAUAAUUCUUUUUGAGAGUUCAUAUCGAAAGAAGAGUUUGUAACCUCGAUGUUGAAUUAAAAUAUCUUUAUAAUGUAGUCGUUAUAUAAGAGGGUC
rnacentral:rRNA from 1 species